rnacentral:lncRNA from 1 species
AUGACGCAAAAAUUCAUUCACUAGUAACAAUACAAAUUUGUUUGAUACUUCAUCAAACAAAGACAUAUAAUGUUAGAGUAAUACACCAUGAAGAAUAUUAACUUUAAAUAAUUAAAAUAAUAUGAGUUUGAUUAGUUAGGAUAAGAAUACUGACUUGUCCAUAGUUCAUAGACCCUGACUUACAAAUCAAUAAUUCAAAAAAUAAAAAUAAAA